rnacentral:rRNA from 1 species
AGUGAACGCUGGCGGUAGGCCUAACACAUGCAAGUCGAACGGCAGCACAGUAAGAGCUUGCUCUUACGGGUGGCGAGUGGCGGACGGGUGAGGAAUACAUCGGAAUCUACUUUUUCGUGGGGGAUAACGUAGGGAAACUUACGCUAAUACCGCAUACGACCUACGGGUGAAAGCAGGGGAUCUUCGGACCUUGCGCGAUUGAAUGAGCCGAUGUCGGAUUAGCUAGUUGGCGGGGUAAAGGCCCACCAAGGCGACGAUCCGUAGCUGGUCUGAGAGGAUGAUCAGCCACACUGGAACUGAGACACGGUCCAGACUCCUACGGGAGGCAGCAGUGGGGAAUAUUGGACAAUGGGCGCAAGCCUGAUCCAGCCAUACCGCGUGGGUGAAGAAGGCCUUCGGGUUUUAAAGCCCUUUUGUUGGGAAAGAAAAGCAGCAGGUUAAUACCCCGCUGUUCUGACGGUACCCAAAGAAUAAGCACCGGCUAACUUCGU